rnacentral:rRNA from 1 species
UACGUAGGGGGCAAGCGUUAUCCGGAUUUACUGGGUGUAAAGGGAGCGUAGACGGCUUAGCAAGUCAGAAGUGAAAACCCAAGGCUUAACCUUGGGACUGCUUUUGAAACUGUCAGGCUAGAGUGCAGGAGAGGUAAGCGGAAUUCCUAGUGUAGCGGUGAAAUGCGUAGAUAUUAGGAGGAACACCAGUGGCGAAGGCGGCUUACUGGACUGUAACUGACGUUGAGGCUCGAAAGCGUGGGGAGCAA